AGGGAUGGGCAGGGGGCUCGGGGCCCCCCAGUGCAGAUCCGUCCGUGCCGUGCCCCUCCCCCCGAGCCCAAAUUCCGCUCCCGGGGGUCGCUGGAUGCGAGGGGGUGACGCAGGUGGGGUGGGAGUGGGGAGCGCUGGGCGCUGCGGGUCUGCUGCUGUUCCAAAUACAUAUUAUGGAAUUGGCUUCUCGCUAAUAUUCAGAUAAAUACUGUAUGUGUAGUGUUAGAAUUGUUUUUAAAAUAUAGUUUUCUUUUAAAAAAGCAUAGGCUAAUGAAGUGUCUUCGUAAUAAAUAAACUACCUACUUGUUAAAAACGAGGUUCACUUUCCUGGUAAAUUUAGAAAGGUUUAAUAAAAGACAGUAAGAAACAAGCAAUAAAGCAAAAGAUUAUAAAGACCAGGUGCUUGACAUUUAGGCAAGAGCACACACUAACUCAGAAAACACUUCUUUAAAUGCAUCAACCUGUUGCAUAUUCAUAGGCCUUCAUGCAUUAUUCAAAUUCAUGGCCUCUCAAAGUGAUCUUAGCAUCUUCCUCUCCUCUCGGCUUGACUUGCACAGCUGAGGUGGACGUAAGUGACAGAAUGAACAUAGAACAGCUUAGACUGGUUUCCUGCUCGGCGGAAUGUUUGGGACAGGGAUAUUUGAUAAGUACUGAUGACUGAAUCUGAGCUGCAUCGUGUGAUCUUGGCUUUGCAAUAGCUGGGAGGAAAGUGAGGGCUAAAGCGACCGCCCCUGGGCCGUGAGGAAAGCGGCCGCAGGCGGCUCGGCCCGGGCGCUCGAGGCUUCUCUGCCCCGGAGAGCCACCAGCCCCCGGAAUAGUGCUCCGUUCUUUUCCCCAUCGGCCCCUACCGGAAUUUUUUUUUUUUGUAAGAUUCUUUUUCCUUUAUAUUUUCUGUUGCCUCCCUUCGCUCCGCCUGCGUCGUCUCGGCCCCGCUGUCACCAGAGCCCGGCCCGAAGCGACCGGCCCGGCCCGGGUUCCCCCGCCCGCUGUGACAGCGCAGGGCCGGGCGCCCUUGGCGGCUUUCGGCUUUGGUUCUGCGCUCUGAGGGGAGGGAAUUUUGUGUUUCUGGUGCAGGGCGUUUUAUUUUUCGACGCGGCAGGCGGAGGUGCGGGAAUGGGCAGGAGUCUUAGACGGGAGUGCGGUAGUUGUUAAGUCUCCCUUUUUCGCCAUCGUCACGCUGGUUUUUCUUUCUGAUUUCUGUUUUUCCUUCUGUUUUCCCCUUGCUUCCCGCGCCGCCCCUCAGGCUCGGCGGUGGCGCGGGGCACCACGGGAAGGGCUUUUCCCGUCGCCGCCAGCCGAGCGUGAGGGACCCUGGGCGGCGACGGGAGAGGAGGAGGCUGCGCUGGGCGAGCAGCGGGGCCGGGCACGGGCUGCGGGUGAUGGCGGGAGAGGAGGAGGCUGCGCUGGGCGAGCAGCGGGGUCGGGCACGCAUGGUGAUGUAAAAAGCUUUUGUUCACAUAACUAACUCAGAGAAUGGUAAAAAAAGAAGAUAUUCAGGAAAUUCUUCACAUUCUUGGAUUAUCCUGUCUCAAUGAAUACAGGAGUGAUGAACACUAGAACUCCAGGAAAGGAAUUUAUUGAUCUCCAUUAUCUGGGAAUGCACUAACAAGAAGGAGAAUGAGCCACAAGCGGAAAAAAAAUUAAAAUAAAAAGUUUUAAAAAGCUGA